CCUACGGGGGGCAGCAGUGGGGAAUAUUGCACAAUGGGCGCAAGCCUGAUGCAGCAACGCCGCGUGAGGGACGACGGCCUUCGGGUUGUAAACCUCUUUUAGUAGGGAAGAAGCGAAAGUGACAGUACCUGCAGAAAAAGCACCGGCUAACUACGUGCCAGCAGCCGCGGUAAUACGUAGGGUGCAAGCGUUGUCCGGAAUUAUUGGGCGUAAAGAGCUCGUAGGCGGUUUGUCGCGUCUGCUGUGAAAACCCGAGGCUCAACCUCGGGCCUGCAGUGGG
rnacentral:rRNA from 1 species